AAUAUAUAUAACUCAAUCUCAGACAAGAUCAAAGCAUAUGUGAUAUAAAAACUUAUUCAGAUUUAAUGAAAGAGUCUUCACACAUCACAGGAUCACUUAAUAUUCAGACUAAUUAAUAAAUCAAACACAAAUUUUAUGCAGAUAAACUAAUCUCAGACCAUAUCAAAGCAUAUGUCAAACACAUAUAACCAUAUUUAAAACGAUUAAUCAAAGUAAAAUAUCUAUUACCAAUCACAUAGCAAACACAGUAAUGUACAAGACAAAGGAAAAGAUGGUCUAACCUGUCGUGUAAUAAGAGCCAAAGAUAACCUUCAGAUUCCCAUUACUUCAAACAGCAACACUUGCAAAACAAAAUGAGAGAAUGAGUAUAUCUAGUUUCAUGUGUUUGGUAAUGCAAGAAUGUGUUAGAAAAGCACUUAAAAGAUCUAAAGAUUCAGAUAACAGAUCAAUACAAAAAGUCAGAACUUACAAGACCAACCAAUUGUAUCCGACAAUAAGAACAAGUCAAUACAAAUAGUUUUAAUAGAAUGUCAACAAAAACUUCUAAAUCUCGAGAAUAGGUCAAUACAAGUUAUCUAAAAAUCUAAGAUUUCCGAAAGCAAAAUUGUGCAUCCUAUUUAUCAAGCUACGCCUAAAUCAAACCACACAAACAAAUAGUUCUAAUUAAGCAAAGAACACGGACAUGCAAAAGACAAAAACUUUGAAGAAUCGAAUCAGAGAAACCCUUAAAUCCAGACUUUAAGAAACAAAACAGUUGUCGAGCUUCACGACAGCUAAAAGAAAUCUAGCUAGGUUAACGAAAGGGAAGAAAUAAAUCUACAGAUUCAGAGAGACAUGCCUUCGAUUUGGGACUCAGAGAGAUGGUUUAAUCGGAGAAUUAGGGCCGAAAUCAGGUUUUCUGUCGCGGCUACAGCUUUGACGGUGGCUAACUUCAACGACGGCGGUGGCGAGUUCAAUCGGUGGCUCCAGGAAUCGAUUCGUCGGUUUGAGAGAGUGUGGUUAAGCCUUA
rnacentral:lncRNA from 1 species